rnacentral:rRNA from 1 species
UACGAAGGGGGCUAGCGUUGUUCGGAAUUACUGGGCGUAAAGCGCACGUAGGCGGGUCGUUAAGUCAGGGGUGAAAUCCCGGAGCUCAACUCCGGAACUGCCUUUGAUACUGGCGAUCUUGAGAUCGGAAGAGGUGAGUGGAAUUCCCAGUGUAGAGGUGAAAUUCGUAGAUAUUGGGAAGAACACCAGUGGCGAAGGCGGCUCACUGGCCCGGAACUGACGCUGAGGCACGAAAGCGUGGGGAGCAAACAGG